AGCUGCACAAACCGCAAUCAGUAUGAUGAAUGGUUGCCAAUUAGGUAGUAAGAAGUUGAAGGUUCAGCUUAAAAGGGACAACAAACAGAAUAAACAUUAUUGAUAUCUAAGGUGAGGUAUGGAAGGAAUUGUCACACGCAAGCUACUUGGGAAUCACUCCAUUGGCAUCCACUGCAGAGCAGAUCUGAAAGUUGAGCAGCUACUUGGCAGCUCUGUGCUAAUUGUAGUUCCCUUAUGGGUUGAAAUCCCUGAA
rnacentral:misc_RNA from 1 species